rnacentral:rRNA from 1 species
AGUGGACGCUGGCGGUAGGCCUAACACAUGCAAGUCGAACGGCAGCACAGUAAGAGCUUGCUCUUACGGGUGGCGAGUGGCGGACGGGUGAGGAAUACAUCGGAAUCUACUUUUUCGUGGGGGAUAACGUAGGGAAACUUACGCUAAUACCGCAUACGACCUACGGGUGAAAGCAGGGGAUCUUCGGACCUUGCGCGAUUGAAUGAGCCGAUGUCGGAUUAGCUAGUUGGCGGGGUAAAGGCCCACCAAGGCGACGAUCCGUAGCUGGUCUGAGAGGAUGAUCAGCCACACUGGGACUGAGACACGGUCCAGACUCCUACGGGAGGCAGCAGUAGGGAAUAUUGGACAAUGGGCGCAAGCCUGAUCCAGCCAUACCGCGUGGGUGAAGAAGGCCUUCGGGUUGUAAAGCCCUUUUGUUGGGAAAGAAAAGCAGCAGGUUAAUACCCCGCUGUUCUGACGGUACCCAAAGAAUAAGCACCGGCUAACUUCGUG